AUUGAACGCUGGCGGCAGGCCUAACACAUGCAAGUCGGGCGGAUGAAGGGAGCUUGCUCCUGGAUUCAGCGGCGGACGGGUGAGUAAUGCCUAGGAAUCUGCCUGGUAGUGGGGGAUAACGUCCGGAAACGGGCGCUAAUACCGCAUACGUCCUGAGGGAGAAAGUGGGGGAUCUUCGGACCUCACGCUAUCAGAUGAGCCUAGGUCGGAUUAGCUAGUUGGUGGGGUAAAGGCCUACCAAGGCGACGAUCCGUAACUGGUCUGAGAGGAUGAUCAGUCACACGGGAACUGGGACACGGUCCAGACUCCUACGGGAGGCAGCAGUGGGGAAUAUUGGACAGUGGGCGAAAGCCUGAUCCAGCCAUGCCGCGUGUGUGAAGAAGGUCUUCGGAGUGUAAAGCACUUUAAGUUGGGAGGAAGGGCAGUAAGUUGAUACCUUGCUGUUUUGACGUUACCAACAGAAUAAGCACCGGCUAACUACGUG
rnacentral:rRNA from 1 species